rnacentral:rRNA from 1 species
UACGUACUGGUAUUGUUGGUUUCUCCCUUCUGACGAACCAUGAUGUCAUUUAUUUGGUGUUGUGGGGAAUCAGGACUGUUACUUUGAAAAAAUUAGAGUGUUUAAAGCAGGCUCACGCUUGAAUACAUUAGCAUGGAAUAAUGAAAUAGGACGUUUGAUUCUAUUUUGUUGGUUUCUAGGAUCGACGUAAUGAUUAAUAGGGAUAGUUGGGGGCAUUAGUAUUCAAUUGUCAGAGGUGAAAUUCUUGGAUUUAUUGAAGACUAACUACUGCGAAAGCAUUUGCCAAGGAUGUUUUCAUUAAUCAUGAACGAAAGUUAGGGGAUCGAAGACGAUCAGAUACCGUCGUAGUCUUAACCAUAAACUAUGCCGACUAGGGAUCGGAUGAUGUUAAUUUUUUAAUGACUCAUUCGGCGCCUUACG